UACGGGGGAGCAAGCGUUGUUCGGAUUUACUGGGCGUAAAGGGCGCGUAGGCGGCCUGUGCAAGUCAGUUGUGAAAUCUCCGAGCUUAACUCGGAACGGUCAACUGAUACUGCUCGGCUAGAGUGCGGAAGGGGCAACUGGAAUUCUUGGUGUAGCGGUGAAAUGCGUAGAUAUCAAGAGGAACACCUGCGGCGAAGGCGGGUUGCUGGGCCGAUACUGACGCUGAGGAGCGAAAGCGUGGGGAGCGAACAGG
rnacentral:rRNA from 1 species